UACGGGUUUCCAUCCAAAAGCUUAUCGACUACAUCAAAUAAAUGGUGGGGAUGUGAUAAUCGUGACGAGACCAACCCAAACAGAGCCGAGAGCCAACCUGAAGAAAGCACAGGAGAAGCAGAAAAGAAGGAAUGUGAAACCGGAAAAGGUGAAAAUAGUGAAGAAACUCCUCAAGGUUCAUCUUUGUUGAGAGCUGUGAGGAAAAGAGCUAUAGAAGAAGGCAGAGAAGCAUUUAAAUUAGGUGUUUUUCGAGGCUACGGCGUAAACAAGGUAGCCAAAAGGGAGAAAAUAUUGCUUCACCAAAUAUUUGGAUCUUCAUUGCCAAAGUCAUGGAUACAUGAUUUGUAAUUUAGGAUUUGGAUUUCAUGUAGUAACAUUGUCAUGUGGUUUUCGAACUCAACUGUUUGAUCUCAAAUUAACAACCGAUCUUAGAUCGUUAACUUUAUGAAAUUGAAAACAGCUGUUUUUCCUAUUAGGAUUUGGAUUUCAUGUAGUAACAUUGUCAUGUGGUUUUCGAACUCAACUGUUUGAUCUCGAAUUAACAACCGAUCUUAGAUCAUUAACUUUAUGAAAUUGAAAACAGCUGUUUUUCCUAAUGCAGGGAAUCCAAAUUCAUUAAUCAAGGGUGAUUAUCAUUCUGCAGAGUCUUGUAGACUUUGUUUGCUGCAUUGAGUUCUUAGGGAACAACUUCAUGAGAAUGUUUCUCUUUUUUUUUAUUUAUUUUUAUGAUAUUGUAGUCUUCAUCUCUAGUAGUUUUUUAAGGCUGGUGUUUGGAACUAAUGGCAUGAGGCACUUUUGUUCUUAUUGUACUUCCUGAUAGCAUAUCAUUAGGAGGCUGAUGAUACUACAUUGAAAGAACAAGAGAACAAAUUAAAUAAUGACUUAUUUGCGUACGGUUAGUUUAGCUAACAGCAAUUAACAUUUUUCCUCUCUUUUUCAUGGUAUCAUAUUGAAGAUUUAACCAAAGCCUCUAUUUACAACACAAACACAAUGUUUAGUGGGAAAUUUAGAAAUGGAAGGAUCUUUAAUUACCAUAUGGCUUCCCUAAAUCAUACAUCAUUAAAUAAUCAAUAUUUACAUCUACUAACCACAUAAAUAGCACUACUAACACAAGUUUAAACUACAAUUCUUUAUGAAAUUAACAAUAUCAAUAGUAAGAAAGAUGUGUGAAAACUUUCUAUUCAUGUAUUUUGUUAUUUUGUUUUUUUCAUUAUUAAGACCAUAUCUAUUUCUGUUGUUUAUGUUAUGAAUUUUAUUUUAGAACUUGAUGAAAGAUCUAAAAUUCAUUAAACAAUUUAUUUCACAAUAAUAUUUGACUAUUUUCAAUUAAUAAAAAAAUUAUUUAAAAAAAAAAAAUGUAACUUUUAUUCUUACUGAUCACCAAAUAACAAAAGUAUUUCUUAUUCAUGAAAUCCUUUUUAUUACUUUCGUUUUGAUUCAACAUUUUAGUUACCUUAUUUUAUUUUUUAUUAGAUGCAGAUGAUUUUAUUCUUAAUAUUUAGUUGGGAAUGAUAACAAAAUAGGUUAGUAUAUUAAAACUAUAAUUAUAAUUUAAGGUAAAAGCGAAACAAAUAUAUUACAAUUAGUCUUUUAUUAUUUUCUAUUCAAUAAGGCAAAGAGGCAUUUAUCGGGAUGAUAGAGUUUGGACAUGGUACUAUAAUACUCAUCCCCAUAUCCGUGAUUUAAAAAAAUCCCCGUGCCCGAGCCCAUACCCGCUUGGGUGCCAAAGUUAGCACCCGUACCCGUGCCCUAUGGGUAUGUAAGUAUCAAUACCCGUACCCGUGACCCGCAUUCCUAUUAAAAUUAAAUAGAUCAAUUAUAAAAUAUCAUAUAAUUUUAAAUUUUUAAAAAUAUUAAAAAAAUUUCAAACAAUUUAUUGUUGAAAUAAACAAACACUUAUAUUAAAUAUGUAAUGACUUAACAUUGAUAUACGUUUUAUAAUUGAUAAACAUGCAUUUUUCUAUAACAAUAUAAACUAAAAUAUAUAAAUAAAAAUAAAAAUACAUAAAUAUAUAUUGUGCAGGUAUGAGGCAGGCUGGGUACCAAGGUGCCCAUACCCGCACCCGUACCCACUUUUUUUUAUGGGUAAUUAUCCGAGCCCAUGCCCGUAUCCAUUUUUGCGGGUUUUUACCCUACCCGUUAUGCGUAAAUUUGCGGGUGCCCGUUGGGGAUGGGUCAAAUUGUCAUCCCUAGGCAUUUAGUUCGGCAAUGUAUAACUCUCUUAAAAAAAUUGUUAGUAUCUUCCCAUAAAAUGGAGAAUUUUUAAAGGGGUCUAUCAUUAAAACUGAUGAAUGAUGAACGGUAUGAAUGUUGAUCUUCUCUGAAGAAUCCGUGUUGCCUAAGAUGUAAUAUGAAAGAUGGAUCUUUUCUGAAGAAUCCUUGUCGUCUAAGAAGCAAUAUAAAUGUUGGAUAUUCUCUAAAGAGUUCUUGUUGCCCAAGAGGCAAUAUAAAUGUUGGAUUUUUUCUAAAAGAGUCCUUGUCGCCCAAGAGACAAUAUAAAUGUUACAUUUUCUAUGAAGAAUUAUUGUCGCUCAAGAGGAAAUAUGGAUGCUAGAUCAGUACUAAAGGAUUCUCAAGCUUUGUGAAACUCACUAUUGGCUCUCUUGCCAGAUCCUAAAGUACACUAUGACAUUGACCAUUUAAUAGGCAACAUAACGAAUGACACAUUGCAAGUCUCGAUUAGGAGACUCAACUCAAGUCUCGCCCGAGGGACUCAACUUAAAUCCUAUAUUGAGGAACUCAACUUAACGUCUCACCUAAGAGAUUCAACUUAAAAUCUCAGUCCCUAAAGAUCGUCUCAGACUGUAAAAUUGAGACGACCUUUGUUAGGGAUAUCUGAAGUCUCGAAACACUCAAACUAAAUCACUUUGUCCUUUAAAAGACCCCGUGCUUGAGGAAUUAUGUAUUGUGAUAAGUGUUGGUGUAAGCCCUAGAGGUCAAUACUUUUGGUAUUUGUAUCGAAUUAUUUAUUAAUAAUAAAAGGCUUUUUCUUUAUUAUGUUUGUUUAAUAAAGUCCCUAGAAUAUCCAGUCCGUUUAAUGUAUCAAGUGUGACUUGAUCAUGAGAUCACAUUAAACAUAUUAAAGUAUCCGUAGUCGAGCUUUAUUGUGAAGUAGGAUAACAUUAAAGCAUUAAGAUUAUUAUGUAUAUAGACUGAUGAUCACAUCUCAUGGAUCAUGGAUAAGGAGUUAUCAAGUCUUAAACAUAGGUUAUGAAAUAUUUAGAGUAAUAUUUAUUACCGGAUUGACCGCUAUGAGAUACUAAUAGAAUGUUAUGCAAAGUGUCAUAAGUUAUUCUCAUGGUGAUAAUGAUGUAUACCACUCUUCGACCUGAAACACUAUGGACCAGAUGUAGAGUCGAGUGCUUUGUUGUUGAUCCACGAUCAACUUAUAUAGAUAAAGUAAAUCCUAAUGCAAAGUACGGUAUAUAUGAUAUACUGUUUAUGUUUCGUUCAUUCAAACACUAAAUGGUUAUUUUCCUUGAGCGAUCAAUGGUCAUUUGCUUCGGAAUCCGACAUUAGUAUGUGGUGAAGCAAUGACCUGUUGAUCAAUCAUAUUGAAUCAACAAUCGAGGUGUGUUUGACGGUUGAAAUUGGUGAUUAGGGUUAGUGACGGCGCAAGGGUUGUGCCGUCAAGAAAGUUGUGAAUUAAGGGCUUGUUGGAACACGUCUGUUGACUGUUUCAAAGCGCUGGUUUUUGGCCGCGUGACGAUCGUCAUGGACUUGUGACGAUCGUAACAAGCUGGACGUGACGGUCGUCACGUGCUUUGUGACGGUCGUCACAUUCACAGAUCCAGAAUUCUAGGCGUUUCUGUUUUUGGUCGUGUGACAUUCGUCAUGGGCCUGUGACAGUCGUAACAUGCUUGUGACGGUCGUCACACUCACAAAGUCAGAAUUCUCGGGAUUUCUAUUUUGUGACUGUGCAAGAGUUGUGUCGAUGCAAAACGACGCCGAUUUCAAAUGAAUUGUUCAUUAAAACAACGCCGAUUUCAAAUGAAUUGUUCAUGCAAAACGAACACCCGUUCUCGUUGACCGGGCAGCGGACCCCCGACUAACUCUGUGUAGUGUGAUCGGUCGCUGAAAUUUAAUUUGGUUUUAAGUAAUUAAAGGAAUUAAAAUUAAUAAUAAUAAUGUGUUUGUUAUUAUUGCCUUGUGGUGAUCAGUUAUGGCCUUAAUUAUCCUUUAUAUUGUUUUGGGUUUUAAAAUACGACCUGCGUGUCGUGCUCUCCUUUUAAUCUCUUAAUGUAAACUUCUUUUCUCAUCUCAAUCCCUCGUAUGUAAAACGAGUUUCUUCUGUAAUGUAAUGUUAUGAAGAAAGAGAAGAAGACAAUGUUAUGAAGAAAGAGAAGAUUUCAAUAUCAAAGGAGGACAACCUUGAAGACAAAGGAGGACAACCUUUGAAGAUUUGCUUGGGAAGCUUAGAUCGUUAUUAGGUUAGCUUAGGUUCUCCUCAUUGGUGGGAGAACAAUUGCGCUAGGGGCCAUAUUGUUACUUAUUAUGUUGAUGCAUGUGAUUGUAUGUUGAUGCAUGUGAUUGUAUGUUUGCAUGUGAGAGACGAUUUUAUGAUAUAAUAAGCAAGUUGAGAUCAGAAAUAUUGCAAUUCCUCAAAUUAAUUUAAGUUUAAUGCUUCCCAAGUUUAAGCACUCAUCCAAAGACUGAUAUGGAUAAUGUGGUUCUCGCCUCCGAGGUGCAAUGUUCUUAUAUUAUAGGUGGAUAAGGAUAAUUGUUAAUGCAACUUCUUAAANNNNNNNNNNNNNNNNNNNNNNNNNAAAACCGUUGAAAGUGGGCGUACCAAAAUCUGGCCAACACACUGUUGACCAAAGGAAUGGCAACAAUGGACGAAUUUAAAUACGGGUUUCCAUCAAAAGCUUAUCGACUACAUCAAAUAAAUGGUGGGGAUGUGAUAAUCGUGACGAGACCAACCCAAACGAGCCGAGAGCCAACCUGAAGAAAGCACAGGAGAAGCAGAAAAGAAGGAAUGUGAAACCGGAAAAGGUGAAAAAUAGUGAAGAAACCUCAAGGUUCAUCUUUGUGAGAGCUGUGAGGAAAAGAGCUAUAGAAGAAGGCAGAGAAGCAUUUAAAUUAGGUGUUUUUCGAGGCUACGGCGUAAACAAGG
rnacentral:lncRNA from 1 species